rnacentral:rRNA from 1 species
UACGUAGGGUGCGAGCGUUAAUCGGAAUUACUGGGCGUAAAGCGUGCGCAGGCGGUUUUGUAAGCCAGAUGUGAAAUCCCCGGGCUUAACCUGGGAAUGGCAUUUGGGACUGCAAGGCUUGAGUGCGGCAGAGGAGACUGGAAUUCCUGGUGUAGCAGUGAAAUGCGUAGAUAUUGGGAAGAACACCGGUGGCGAAGGCGGCGACCUGGUCCUUUUACUGACGCUGAGGCGCGAAAGCGUGGGGAGCAAACAGG